rnacentral:rRNA from 1 species
AUUGAACGCUGGCGGCAGGCCUAACACAUGCAAGUCGAACGAGUGGCGGACGUGUGAGUAAUGUCUGGGAAACUGCCUGAUGGAGGGGGAUAACUACUGGAAACGGUAGCUAAUACCGCAUACCAUCGGAUGUGCCCAGAUGGGAUUAGCUUGUAGGUGGGGUAAAGGGUCACCUAGGCGACGAUCCCUAGCUGGUCUGAGAGGAUGACAAGCCACACUGGAACUGAGACAAGGUCCAGACUCCUACGGGAGGAAGCAGUGGGGAAUAUUGCAAAAUGGGAGAAAGCUUGAUGAAGCCAUGCCGCGUGUAUGAAGAAGGCAUUCGGGUUGUAAAGUAAUUUCAGCGGGGAGGGGUUACCCGCAGAAGAAGCACCGGCUAACUCCGUGCCAGCCGCCGCGGUAAUUC